GGUGGUUCUAGGGUAACGCACCCCGGAACGAGGCUCCCUCCUCUCUGGUUCUGGGUGUCACCUGAGAACCACA
rfam:Myotis davidii contig7282, whole genome shotgun sequence.